rnacentral:rRNA from 1 species
UACGGGGGGGGCUAGCGUUGAUCGGAAUUACUGGGCGUAAAGGGCGCGUAGGCGGUCUGCUAAGUUGGAUGUGAAAACUCUGGGCUUAACCCAGAGCCUGCAUUCAAUACUGACAGGCUAGAGUUCUGGAGGGGAUAGCGGAAUUCCUGGUGUAGCGGUGAAAUGCGUAGAUAUCAGGAGGAACACCGGUGGCGAAGGCGGCUAUCUGGACAGAGUCUGACGCUGAGGCGCGAAAGCUAGGGGAGCAAACAGG